UUGAGGUGUAAAGAAGGCAGACAUGCUAGAAAAAAGCAACAGCUGUUUUGCAGAUGGUUCCUUCUAAGCAGGGUGAAGGACUAUGCUGAUUUGCUGCAGCUAUGAAGCUGGCUCCCUGACUCUGCUGUUUCCAGCUAAAACUGAUUUUUCUCCAGUUCUGCUGAAAGCCCCAAACUUAAGUGACUUGCUGUGUCUUCUGUUGAUGUUUGCAAGGUUUUCACAGCACUUUUUAUACUGAUCCCCGUGGCAUACAGUCAUUAGAGCUGCUAUCAGACAAGUUAAUCUUUUCCACGGAAUGCAAUAUACCGCUAUUUUCCAGAAAUGGAAAAAUUUCAGGGUUCUGAAGGCAAGAAGGAAGAUGAAGAAAAGAAAUAUCUUGAUGUUAUCAGCAACAAAAACAUAAAGCUGUCAGAGAGAGUUCUGAUCCCUGUCAAACAAUAUCCAAAGUUCAAUUUUGUUGGGAAAUUGCUUGGACCAAGAGGAAACUCUUUAAAGAGGUUACAAGAAGAAACAGGUGCAAAAAUGUCCAUCCUGGGAAAAGGAUCCAUGAGGGAUAAAGCUAAGGAGGAAGAACUAAGGAAAAGUGGAGAAGCCAAAUACGCGCACUUGAGUGAUGAGCUCCACGUAUUAAUUGAAGUUUUUGCUCCGCCUGGGGAGGCGUAUUCUCGUAUGAGUCAUGCCUUGGAAGAAAUAAAAAAAUUCCUGGUUCCUGAUUAUAAUGAUGAAAUUCGCCAGGAGCAGCUGAGAGAACUGUCAUAUUUGAAUGGUUCUGAGGACUCAUCACGUGGACGGGGCAUUCGAGGAAGAGGGAUCCGUGUGCCACCUGCAGCUCCUUCAAGGGGUCGUGGGGGUGCAAUUCCUCCACCCCUGCCUGGACGAGGUGCCCAAGCACCCAGAGGAGCGCCAGUGACCCGUGGAGCCCUCCCUGUGCCACCAGUGGCAAGGGGCGUUCCCACCCCUCGAGCCAGGGGCGCCCCGUCUGUCCCGGGUUACAGACCACCCCCGCCACCUGCACACGAGGCCUACGAGGACUAUGGAUACGAUGAUGGGUAUGGGGGUGAAUAUGAUGAUCCAAGCUAUGAGGCAUAUGAUAACAGUUAUGCUACCCAAACACAAAGUGUGCCUGAAUAUUAUGACUACGGUCAUGGAACAAGUGAAGAGGCUUAUGACAGCUACGCACAAGAAGAAUGGGCCUCAACCCGUUCCAGCCUAAAGGCACCACCUCCAAGGUCAGCCAGAGGGGGUUACAGGGAACACCCCUAUGGUAGAUAUUGAAGGUCCUCCUCAUCUGUGACCUCAUCUCAAAGACAAUUAAUAGCCUGUGGUCUCCACAUAAACAGCAACAAGACAAUGCUAAAUAUCACCGCCCUUGAAGGCAGUUUAGAGGGCUGAUAUUCUUUUGAGACUAUCAGACUUGAUGGCUGAUGAUUAUUAAGGAAAUAUGUCGCAGGACUCAAAGGAUGACUAAACGUUAAACAGGGACUCACAGGCACUGGACAGCUAAGCAGCAGAUCUGCUGAGAAGUGGUCAGGAUGCAUUAGCUCAUGAUGGAUGGCUUCCUCACAGAAAAACAAUGAAUACCUUUGUUACAUGCCCUUGCAUUACAGGACCUUCACACUGUGUUACCACCAAGUCAGAGGUCUUACAGAAAAUCUUAGGAUCUGAUUUUCAUCAGAGUUACAAGUGGCAUCACAGGAGUUUUUCCUGACUGUGCAAAGUGCUGUUUAAGGUUAGGUGCAAGCAUUGGGUUUCCCAGGAUUUUUGGAGCCUUAGGGAAGUACUGUACCUUUUGAAUGGUGUUCAGGGAACUGAGAGUGCUCAACAUCAUUUGCAAUAAAUCACUCUGUUCUGAAGGACUGAACCUCAGGUUGGGACUCUCCACAGCCCUGAGUUCUGGACCUCAGGCUACCACUCAGACUUAAAGUGAUCUUCCAGUCUAUCAGCUGAAGUGAACCUCCUUUAUUUUCCUAAAAGCAUCCCUAAAGACUGGGAUAUGUUGCUGUACUCUUACACUAUAGUGAGGAUCUCCAAAAUCAGCAGGAACACCAAUUGCAAGGCAGCCAACCUGAAGUCCCUCAGCCACCUUUCCUUACAUGAACAGAAGGUACAGAGUACUUCAUUAUGUGCAUGAACAGAAAUGCUUAAAUGGAUGAAGCAGCUAUUUACGUCUGAUAGGAGCUAAGUGGGACAUUAAAUUAAUGCCAAACAAACAGCCUGAAACAUCCUGCAAGGGGCUCAGCUGAGGAAAGAACAGUACGCAUUUUGCUCUGUGAUAUUGGACCACAAUACAGAUGUUAGAGAUCAGAGACUAUCAGAUGAAGGAGUAAGCAUGCUAAAUAAUACCCUGGUUUCACCAUAAGUCUUCUUUUGGGGUGCUUCAAACAAAGAUGUGAAAAUUAAACUGGAUUUACAUAAACAUUUUUAGUAAACAGAGAUACCAUUUCAGAAUUAAUAUUGUUCUUUAGAUUCACACAUGUAUAAUACAUUUCAUUGCUGUAGAAAAAAGUAAUGUUACCAUAAUCUGAGUUUUUAAGGAAAAGACUAAAUACUUAAACAAGGUCAUGAACUGCUAGAUGAGAAGAAUAUAUGUGUAUUACAUAGACCAAAGAAACUGCAUCAAUGGGGACAGGGGGAGUGAGAUCAUAAGUCAUUAACUAUGGCUUUAUGCUUCACAGUGGGUUUAAUCUUAUUAACUGCUUUCCAUUCAUUCUGUUAUUUCCAUGGAAUAAGAUUCUAAGUCUGCUCCAGGUUGAAAGUGAAUAUUAUGCAAUCCAGUAAGUUCUGUACCUAUUGUUAGCAUGUACAAGGCACAUCAGUGGUGCCAAUGUUUAUUCUUAACAGUCUGAAGUAAUCACGAAAUUUCACAACUCUGGGCAGUCAUCACUGCUAUAAAAGCAAAGAGAUAUUUCUAAAGUCGUCUAGUGAGUGAAUAAACCAAUGGCUUUUAUCCAGAUUUUGCAGGUCACUAGAUGUUCAAAACAGCAAAGCAAAUUAAAAGAACCCUUUCUCUUUUGCUGUCAUGGUAAUUUUGCAGUUGAGUAUAUGAUGAUGUGCUAAUGUAAAAGCUAUUGAGGAAGAUAUGGAGGGAUCUUCUUCUAACACUGCCUUGAAAGGUAGAAAUAAAUGUUGCAUUUCAAAUCACAGAUCUCCUUGAAAUUUGAUUUCAUUUUAAAAGGCAUCUUAAGCACAAAAUUUUUGUCCCUUGGUAACUUCCAAUCAGAUGAGAGUCCACUUAGAAGUAAAAACAUAAAUUUCUAAUUGUCAGUCCUGUAACCUCAGCCUGAAAAUCAAGUGGCAACUUUUUGAUUUAUGCCUCAUCACUAUUAUUUAUUCUUCUGCAGGCCAGAAUUUUUUUUCCCCCUCCUAUUGCAGAAUAUCAGGUCUUUCCUUGGGAUCUCUUGAGAUGACAGACUAAGCAUGGGCAGCGUC